rnacentral:rRNA from 1 species
GACGAACGCUGGCGGCGUGCUUAACACAUGCAAGUCGAACGGUAAGGCCCUUCGGGGUACACGAGUGGCGAACGGGUGAGUAACACGUGGGUGAUCUGCCCUGCACUUCGGGAUAAGCCUGGGAAACUGGGUCUAAUACCGGAUAGGACCACUGCCUGCAUGGGUGGUGGUGGAAAGCUUUUGCGGUGUGGGAUGGGCCCGCGGCCUAUCAGCUUGUUGGUGGGGUGAUGGGCUAGCAAGGCGACGACGGGUAGCCGGCCUGAGAGGGUGACCGGCCACACUGGGACUGGGAUACGGCCCAGACUCCUACGGGAGGCAGCAGUGGGGAAUAUUGCACAAUGGGCGCAAGCCUGAUGCAGCGACGCCGCGUGGGGGAUGACGGCCUUCGGGUUGUAAACCUCUUUCAGCACCGACGAAGCGCAAGUGACGGUAGGUGCAGAAGAAGGACCGGCCAACUACGUGCCAGCCGCCGCUGUAA